GACGAACGCUGGCGGCGUGCUUAACACAUGCAAGUCGAACGGAAAGGCCCUGCUUUUGUGGGGUGCUCGAGUGGCGAACGAGUGAGUAACACGUGAGUAACCUGCCCUUGACUUUGGGAUAACUUCAGGAAACUGGGGCUAAUACCGGAUAGGAGCUCCUGCUGCAUGGUGGGGGUUGGAAAGUUUCGGCGGUUGGGGAUGGACUCGCGGCUUAUCAGCUUGUUGGUGGGGUAGUGGCUUACCAAGGCUUUGACGGGUAGCCGGCCUGAGAGGGUGACCGGCCACAUUGGGACUGAGAUACGGCCCAGACGCCUACGGGAGGCAGCAGUGGGGAAUAUUGCACAAUGGGCGGAAGCCUGAUGCAGCAACGCCGCGUGCGGGAUGACGGCCUUCGGGUUGUAAACCGCUUUCGCCUGUGACGAAGCGUGAGUGACGGUAAUGGGUAAAGAAGCACCGGCUAACUACGU
rnacentral:rRNA from 1 species